CAUCGGGUUAUAACAUUUAGCAAGAACAAGGUUCAAGAAACAUGCCUUCUCAAUCAUCUGGUCUCUUUUAUGGAAAAAGAGAGUUGAUGGGAAUGGGUGGAGUAGGUACAAAGAAAAUAGGUAUGUUUUUUUUGCCUAGCUAAUUGAAAUAUAUAAAUCCCCUUACCAUUGUAGUAGUGAUGUUGGUUUUAAAAUGACCAAUUAUGAUAGGAAGUCUCUUUUCAGUUUAUCUUAAUCAAAUAUAUAUCUAUACAAGAGGAUUUCGUGAUUCUAGAUGAUGAUUCUUGAUGAGGAUGUUAAUGUCAACGUUAUGAGGAUGUUGAUGUUAACGUUGACUCUAGCGAUGACGACUGAUGAUAUUGAUAAUAUGUUGAUGCACUCAAAUUAAGUCAAAGCACUUAGAAUUGAAGGAAAUUUAGAGUUGAAGACAUACUAUUGAGCAUAGUGUCUAAUUCUUUUAGUUACACAAAUCUUUGGUCACUUCACAGUUCACACAUGAUUUUUCAAACAAUGGUGUGUAAUAUGAUUCAUCUACUAGAGCUCUCUUCUUUUUCAUCUCUCUAAACCCUAAUUUUAUCUGUGGA